GCAAGUCGAGCGCACCCUUCGGGGCGAGCGGCGGACGGGUUAGUAACGCGUGGGAAUGUACCCUUUUCUACGGAAUAGCCAUUGGAAACGAUGAGUAAUACCGUAUACGCCCUACGGGGGAAAGAUUUAUCGGUAAAGGAUUGGCCCGCGUUAGAUUAGAUAGUUGGUGGGGUAACGGCCUACCAAGUCUACGAUCUAUAGCUGGUUUUAGAGGAUGAUC
rnacentral:rRNA from 1 species